rnacentral:rRNA from 1 species
GAGGAACUUGUUCCUCGAGUCGUUGAUUUCACACUGCCGAGAAAAGCCUCUAGCUAGAAUAACGGUGCCCGUACCGCAAACCGACACAGGUAGUCAAGAUGAGAAUUCUAAGGUGAGCGAGCGAACUCUCGUUAAGGAACUCGGCAAAAUGACCCCGUAACUUCGGGAGAAGGGGUGCUCUUUGAGGUUCACGCUUCGAAGAGCCGCAGUGAAUAGGCCCAAGCGACUGUUUAUCAAAAACACAGGUCUCUGCUAAACCGUAAGGUGACGUAUAGGGGCUGACGCCUGCCCGGUGCUGGAAGGUUAAGAGGAGUGGUUAGCGCAAGCGAAGCUACGAAUCGAAGCCCCAGUAAACGGCGGCCGUAACUAUAACGGUCCUAAGGUAGCGAAAUUCCUUGUCGGGUAAGUUCCGACCCGCACGAAAGGCGUAACGAUUUGGGCACUGUCUCAACGAGAGACUCGGUGAAAUCAUAGUACCGGUGAAGAUGCCGGUUACCCGCGACAGGACGGAAAGACCCCGUGGAGCUUUACUGUAGCCUGAUAUUGAAAUUCGGUACAGUUUGUACAGGAUAGGUAGGAGCCUUAGAAGCGUGAGCGCUAGCUUACGUGGAGGCAUUGGUGGGAUACUACCCUAAUUGUAUUGGAUUUCUAACCCGCAGCACUUAUCGUGCUGGGAGACAGUGUCAGGCGGGCAGUUUGACUGGGGCGGUCGCCUCCUAAAGAGUAACGGAGGCGCUCAAAGGUUCCCUCAGAAUGGUUGGAAAUCAUUCAUAGAGUGUAAAGGCAUAAGGGAGCUUGACUGCGAGACCUACAAGUCGAGCAGGGUCGAAAGACGGACUUAGUGAUCCGGUGGUUCCGCAUGGAAGGGCCAUCGCUCAACGGAUAAAAGCUACCCCGGGGAUAACAGGCUUAUCUCCCCCAAGAGUUCACAUCGACGGGGAGGUUUGGCACCUCGAUGUCGGCUCAUCGCAUCCUGGGGCUGUAGUCGGUCCCAAGGGUUGGGCUGUUCGCCCAUUAAAGCGGUACGCGAGCUGGGUUCAGAACGUCGUGAGACAGUUCGGUCCCUAUCCGUCGUGGGCGUAGGAAAUUUGAGAGGAGCUGUCCUUAGUACGAGAGGACCGGGAUGGACAUACCUCUGGUGUACCAGUUGUCGUGCCAACGGCAUAGCUGGGUAGCUAUGUAUGGACGGGAUAAGUGCUGAAAGCAUCUAAGCAUGAAGCCCCCCUCGAGAUGAGAUUUCCCAACUUC